UUUUAUCCUCUUUUAUUUUAUCCUAUUCAAUAUUGCCAUUUUAGGCUGAUCUGGCCACACUGGGGAGUGCCACAGGCCUCCGGACUGUUUGCCGCUGGCUUGGGGUUAAGUGCCUGGCCUGGGGCACAGGGGAGUGUUUGAAUGCGGGUCUCCAAGGCCAAUGUCGGUCUGUUAGCCUCAGCCUCUUUGUAAAGUGACCGGACACGGGACUUAGUCCCCCAUCCAAGCCGCGAUCCUCCUCUCCGCGAAUGGGAUCCUGGUCUUUUGAAAGCCUCCACAAGCAUGGCUGCAUCGUGGGGAAGCUCAGGACAGCCUCCACAGGCCCCCAGACCUCGAGGAGCAGGCCGGCCGCAGGGAGGGGUCUCUCCCAGGACCGGACACCUUGCAGUCUCCGCUGAAGCAGUGCCUGCAGCCCGGCCCUGGGCUUGACCUCCUGGAGGUCCCUGCCAGGGGCCCGGAAAGGGCCGGAUGGAGGCCGGGCGGGGCUUUCCUUUGGGUCCGUCCCAGGCCAUCCCCUGCGGUCCCCUGGGGCGAGGACGCAGCCUGGUCCUGGCCCGGGGUCUGCCGCGGAGCUGCAUGUCCCGAAGAUGGCCGGUGCUGGCUAACCGGAGCCCCGGUUGCCAUGGGAAAUGAUGGCCCGUCCAAGGCGAUCACUUAGUGGCCCCCGCUGGAGGCGUCCCCCAUUGUCCUCAGAGCGUGGCCUCGACGGGCCCAGGGUCCCCCGAGACCCCACGAUGCUCGGCUAGAUGCCUCCCAAAGGCUCCCUGCUUGUUGUCAACAGAGCCCGCGGGGGGAGGGGGCGAGGGGACGGCUCUCCACCCCGAUGGCGACGACCAUUUACUUCCACCGCACUCGGUCCGGCCAAACUGUCACUCAAGAACUUUCUGCCCAAUUCCCUUCCCAACCGACCAACCCUCCCAAGGAAUAGGGCGCUGGGCGCCCUCCAUGCCAGCCUCCGUCCUGUGGGUCCCCAGUGGUCGUCGGCCAGCCCCUCGUAGCCUGUGUCUGACCAUGGCCUGUGGCUCUCCCUGUGGUCCCCGUCUGUCAGUCAGUCUGUCCAUCCCCGCACACACGCCGGCGCUGGGGUCACUCGGGGCUCCCGGGAAGCCCCCCAGGGCUCGCUCCUGGGGCUGCGGACAGCCGUGGGUAGCAGCCGCGGGGGCCCAGCCGCUUGGGCCCGAGGUGGCCCCUGGGGCUGUGGCCGCUGCCCCUCCCCUCCCCUCCCGGAGGCGCUCGGCGGGGGGCGGGGGGCUCGGCCGCGCGGGGCCGCGCGCGCGUGAGUGUGAGUGCGCGCGCGGAGUGUGGCCGAGGGAAGCCAUUGCCUGGUUAAUAGUUGCUGUUGCAGCACUUCCGCUUCUCUCCGGCGAGGGAGAGACACGAGUGGCCAGGCCCAGCCGCCGCCGCAGCCCCGGCGGCCCCAGCGGCGGCAGCAGCAGCAGCAGCGGCGGCGGGAGGAGGAGCGGCGGCGGCGGGAGGAGCAGCAGCAGCAGCCUCGGCGGCGGCAGCGGCAGCGGCGCAGGCGGCCCAGGCGGCGGCCCCGGCCCCGAGGAGCCAGACACAAAGAGCGAGCGAGACCGAGAAAGAGAGCCACAGCACCCCCAAGAAGAAGGAGAGCAAAGUCAGCAUGAGCAAGAACUCCAAACUCCUGUCCACCAGCGCCAAGAGGAUUCAGAAGGAACUGGCCGACAUCACGUUAGACCCACCUCCCAACUGCAGUGCCGGGCCCAAAGGCGACAACAUCUACGAAUGGAGGUCGACGAUUCUGGGGCCUCCGGGCUCCGUCUAUGAGGGCGGCGUGUUCUUCCUCGACAUCACCUUUACGCCAGAGUAUCCCUUCAAGCCCCCCAAGGUGACGUUCCGGACGCGGAUCUACCACUGUAACAUCAACAGCCAGGGCGUGAUCUGCCUGGACAUCCUGAAGGACAACUGGAGCCCGGCCCUCACCAUCUCCAAAGUGCUGCUCUCCAUCUGCUCCCUGCUCACCGACU